rnacentral:tRNA from 1 species
GACGUAAUAACUUAAUGGUAAAGUAUUGGUUUCAUAAACCAAAGGACGGGGGUUCAAUCCCCCCUUACGUCA